AACAAAAUGAUUUUGUGCUUGAGGGUCACUGUAGCAUAGGAAACUGUAUUAAAGUGUGUCAGCAUUAGGAGGCUCGAGGACCACUGUCAUAUAACAAGUCCCCUAGCUGUGAGUAUCAUGAAAUAUAGAUGUUGGUUAGGAAAUUCAAAACAGAAGAGGCCUUCAACUCAAAUGGAUAGAGACUAAGCAGAGAGAGUCCAGAAAAACUCAGGAUGCCGUGUAUGAACCAGGACUUGUUGACCUUACACUCAAAUAUCCUUACACUUCUUCAUCAUACAUCAAAUAAACAGUGUGUCUUCCAUUCAGUGUGGCAGAUGCAACACGAUAUUGAUUGUCAUUUUCUAUACCUCAAUGAAUUACCCAUCUGUAAAUUAUGUUAGAAAAGCAUUAACAUAAUAAGAUGUUCAUUUUAACCUUUGCUUAUAUGCUUCAUAUUAAAUAUGCCAUAUUAUUUACUUUAAACUGGACUUUAAUGGGUUUAUAUGUGAUAAAUCAACUGUCAACAUAGUUUUAUAUCAUGCUUAAAAUUGAUUAAAAAUUUAUUUUUUUUGAAUUCUGCAUUCUUAGUGAUCUCAUCACACAUAAUAGGAGAAGAAACAUAUUAUUCUUAUUUAUUCAUUUAUUGUGUGAGAAAAUGUUUGUGUGUAUGAAUGUGCUAUAUCACAUGUAUAUAGGUCAAAAGACAUUGUGUGCAAACUGGUCAUCUCCUUUUAUCACCAGGAUUCUGGAAAUCAAACUCCAGUAAUCAAGUUUGGCAAAUUAUACUGUUACCAGCUGAGCCAUUUCACUGGCCCACAAAUAUUAUUUCAAUGUCAUUUUCUUGCACGUAUUUUACAUUUUUAUUUAUUAGCAGGAAUAUGUCCUAUUAACAUAUAUCAGUUCUAAAUGCAUGCAUUCUCAUUGCUUUGACUCUGACAGUGACUAUGUCUAUGGUCCUUAUUUCCUCCAUGAUUAGGUCUUAGUUUAAGUUGUCAAACUAGCAGUUUAUGUUAGAGGUUGUGAAAAAUGCAACAUUGCCUUUAUAAACAAUGAAUCAACAAAUAUAUCAAUAUUUGAUACCUGUUUUAAUUCAUGUUAGAGUUUUUAAAAGAACUUAAAGGAAAAAAUUCCACAGAAUAGGAACUGCCUUCCUAUAGGCAACUGACUUCUUGGUUAUUUGUUUGGAUAAUUUUCAUAGCCACAGUUUGCUCACUAGGCUAACAUUCUGACAAGAAGUCAGGCAUGAGAACAGAGCAAGAUAUGUCAUGAUUAAACAAGAAGAGCAAGUUUGCAUCUGUAAGAUGUUUCAUUCUGAUCUGAACCCUGAAUUUUAUUAUGCUCAGCUGAUAAAAUAUUCCAUUUGAAUUAGAUAUCUCAUAUUUCCUUUGCAAAAUGUAUUUUUCCUCCUCAGAGUAUAAGAGGCCAAAGCAGGUAUCUCUUUUGCAGAAAACUAUGCCAUAUUGAAUUCUUCUUGAUGAAGUUCUUAAAAAUACAACAUUUUUAUUAUUUUAUGUUAUAUUUAUAUAUUUCAUAUAGGUUUUAUUUAAUAAAAGAAGCCAUUAGCUUGUUUUCAGAUAUGCACUCUUUUAAUUAUUUAAAUUUUCAAACUGCACAUGAAAUAUAUAUAAGUACAUUUCUUUUUAAAAUGCUCAGGUGUUAGACAUUUAAUAUAAACUCACAGUGGAAUAUUUCCUCAAGUUGAAAUAUCAAAAAUAUUUUCUAUAAUAUGUAAAUUAAUUUGAGAUGAAAGUAGUAAUGCCUUUUGCUGUUUAGCAAUGAUUUCUACAUAGAUUUCAUAAUCCACUUUUAAAAAAAGACUCUUUCUAUGGCUUGAAAGAAUGAGAUGAUUUCUUCCAAGGAGCAGCUCAAAAAGAAACCAUCUAUCACAGUUCUUACAAUGUCAUAAAUGGGGGAACACGUGCUUUUUCUGGUCUUGUUCUGUGAUUCUGUGAAAAGAAUUUCCACUUCUUGGUUCAUCAUAGCUGCUGUCAGCCAGUUUGCGCAUGUACAUUCUAGCAAUAGGAAGGAGAAAGGUAUGGCCAGAGUAUAGCCUAGAGCAGCCAAGAGGAAGUUCUAUAUGAUUCUUCUCCUAUAUGGCUAGCAAUAAUGACAUGCGUUUACAGGAUUACAGAAAGGUUAGGAAUGCAUUGGCAUGAUUUAGCAUUUGGCAGAAAAGUUUCACACAAUCCAAUAAUAUAUUCAGAUGGCAAGGAAACUCAUUGAACUAAUGUAAAACUCUAAUUCAAAAUAUUCUACUGCAUGAUUUCAUAAAUAAUAUAUGCUUCCAAAGUCACAAAAUAUUGAGCUGAUCAAAGAAUCAGUAAACACUACCAUAUAAAUUAAAUAAAGUUCAUAAAAUGGAACAAAGUUGAGGCUGAGUAAUUAUAUUCCCAUGCAUUUAGGAUCACAAUAUACAGUACUAAGAAGUUGCUAUAGACUACUCAUGCAUAAAUCACAUCAUUAAUUGGUUUAUUCUGGGAACGUCUCCAGACGCAACUCUAAACCUCCUUAAGUGGGGAGCAUUAUAAGCUACCCUAAUAUGAAUCCAUCUCUUCUAAAACACAGUUAACAUGGGGUAUGGCAGACAACAACAGAGUGUAAUGUUUGCUUGUAACUACAGGGACAAGAGAAAUAGCCUAACAACAUGACUCAUUCAAGGACAAGAAGGCAAUACAAAUCCUCCAGUUACACUACAGCACGUGCACUUAUAUGCACAUAUUUGUAUAAGAACAUGUAUUUGUGUAUGUUGUAUGUAUUACUUGCAUUUUUAUAUCUAUGUCUACUAAUUAGAUAGCAUUAUGCUUAUAGAUGUGCCCAUGUUUUUCUUGUUUCCAGCAGGCAUUUAACAUUUCAAUUUAAGAAAAAUCAUGAAACACAUUAGAGAUAAUAGAAUUUUCUACAAUUGUGUCUGUGUUUUCUUUACCUUUUCUUAUAUAUUUUUAAUUGUGAUCCUAGCCUUUAAUGGGCUGAGCCAUCUCUCCAGCCCUCUUCUCAAUUAAACAUAUUUGUAUGCAUUUUGCAGGCUCAUUACUUCCAAUACAGUGAGAUUUUGUAUGACCAGAAAAUGCUCAUUACUCUCACCACUGGUAAUUUUUAGCCCACUAAGACUUUGUAACAGUGUGCAUAUUUAUUUAUUAUUGUUAUAACAGUAUUCACUAUUAUGAAAAGGUGAAGUAAUCCAACAUAGCUUUAAUUUCUAAAAUUUCCCUGUUCUUAUCUAAUUACACAAUUUUUUCUUUUCACUUUUUCUUUCUCCUUCUGUAAGACUUUCAUUUCUCUUUGUUUUCUCUCUUUAUCCUCUUUCCUUUAUUGGUGAAAAAAAUAGGCAAGAGUUAAAAUUGUUUAAUUACAGUUGGCAAGCUUAUACAUGCCAUGAUGCCUGGAUUCUGCUGUCAGGCUGUGUGCCGUGUGCUGUGUACUGUGUACUGGAUGCAAUACAAUGGACAAAGCCACGGCAACAUGGAUUUUGCUUGUGUUUGUCUUGCUUUGCUCAAUAAAUUUUCUAGGCAUUAUGAUUUUAAUAGAAAAAAAAGUCUUACAUUUGUAACAUUUAAAAUGCAACUCAAAAGAAUGGGAAACUUGUUUUAUCAACUUCCAAGGUUAGAAAUUCAGCGUUGCUGUCCUAGGAGGCUCUGCAGGAGAGGCACGAGUGGCUCCAGGGAGUCUGGUCACAUGGUUUGACCUUCUAGUGCUCUUGAGUAUCUUAGUUCACUAUCUGAUGACUUUUCUAUUCCUAGCCAUUAUCAACUGUAAUAAUAUAUCUAUAUCACAUUAUUACAGCGAAAAAAUGCUUCUGUAUGAAAUACAUGAAAAAAGAUGCUUGUUGAGAGCAAUCUGUGGUAUAUCUAGUGACAGCUAGAGCCAUUGCUUUCUCAUCAUAUGAUGACCUGUUUAACCUUGCACUCUGGAAUUUUUACCCAUGGAUAUAAUUGCUCAUAAGUCUAGUAUGACUCACUUCUUAACUAAUAUAAAGCAUACGGUUUAUAUUUGAAUUGUGCUUCUCUGUAACUGAUGGGAUUUGUUAGGAAUGUUUAUAAUUUUAGUUGAAGAGUGAAUGGCACAGUAUCCCAUAUAUAUAUUCAUGUAUAAAAAACUCUAGGGUAAUUUUUGCAGGACUUUAUCUAACAUGAUCCUGUGUCUCACUUACACUUUCAGCUUUGCAUCCGACUUUUAAGAAACACAGUGGUUGUUAGAAAAUAUCCCUUGAUGUUUCAAUUAUCCAUCAUCCACUGAACAAACCCCAUAUGUUAGUGUGUUGUUUACCUUUUAGAGAAACCCAGAAACAAAAAAUUCUAUACUUACCAUUCAUAUAUUUUAUAGCAUCAUAGAUGUCUUUUACUUUCUAAGCUGAAUAUUCACUAUUAUGCCAUAAUAUUCACAUUUAUGCCAUGCUAGAACUUCUUUCAUUUUGGACAAUUAAACAUUUUUGGAUAAUUAAAAAGUCACCAUUUUUAUACAAUUUUUGUUUUUAAUGACAAGUUAAUUUUUAAUGUAAAUGUAUGAAAUUUCUUGGGUUUUGAAUAACAACAUACAUAGUACAUAAAUGAAAGCACAUC
rnacentral:lncRNA from 1 species